UCUUUCGUCUUAUAGUACAAUACAAUUAUGUUUUUAUAACGAGUGGUAGAGUAUUAGUGACAGAAUUUAAAUGAGAGGUGCCUUCGUCAUCGGCCAAGUACCUGAAUGUACCGGGCGAGUCUAUAAUCGUGUCCUGCAUUUACCUCAAUUUCUCGAUUACUAAGGCUCUGUUCACGAUAAUAUUGACGCCUUAGAGAUGCUCGAGCACUAAUCAAUCACUUAAGCUUGACUUAGUAUUUGCCUUUAGUGUCCCUUUAAGACGGGCAUGAAAA
rnacentral:lncRNA from 1 species